UGUGUUAGCAUGGAAUAAUGAAAUAUGACUCUAGUCCUAUUUUCGUUGGUUUAGGUACUUCAGUAAUGAUGAAUAGAAACGGUUAGGGGCAUUUGUAUUUGGUCGCUAGAGGUGAAAUUCUUGGAUUGA
rnacentral:rRNA from 1 species